GAAUGUGUAACGGAUGGAAACUUAACUAAGAGCUGUGAUCCUCGCUCAUGACUGUGAGAGACAUAUCAAAGUAUGUUUUUGACAAAGUGUAUUCCAUGAAGUACAUAUAUUUAUAUUCAUUAUUACUAUUUGUUGGAAAGAAGUAGGAAAACAUAAGCGUGCAGCUGUUCUAUGAUCUUCGUAUUUGGCCACACUGGGGCACCUGGCCCCAUUCUUGGCAUAGCCAACAGUGAGAUCAUGAGAAACUGCAUGGCCACACCAAUAAACAAUUACAGGAAUGGCAUAAAGCCAGCUGUGUUUCUAAGGGUAUAAAAGCAGGACCCUCCUGUAGCCGAAUGUGAAGCCUCACCUAUGGGUGGAUGCACCACACAGGAAUUUUCCAAGUUACCUGGGACUCCCAGCAUUGGCUGCAACAGGGCUUCCCAGCUUGAAGUGUGGCCCAGAUGAUGACGAUUAGGUGGUAACUGCUUCUGAUUUUUAAAACCUGUUUCUUUUCUCUGUGACAACACAAAACCAAACUGUUCAAAGAGCCGGAGUGAAUCAUGACAGAACUACAGAUGUGCAACACUAAGACUGCUUUUUCAGAAGUAUGUGUGACUGGAAGAACAGACAAUCUUUGCAGGGCUUAGGGAUGAGGUGACAUUAAAACAUUAUAUUGCUUGA